rnacentral:rRNA from 1 species
UGGGGAAUUUUGGACAAUGGGCGCAAGCCUGAUCCAGCCAUGCCGCGUGCGGGAAGAAGGCCUUCGGGUUGUAAACCGCUUUUGUCAGGGAAGAAAUCUUCUGAGUUAAUACCUCGGGAGGAUGACGGUACCUGAAGAAUAAGCACCGGCUAACUACGUGCCAGCAGCCGCGGUAAUACGUAGGGUGCAAGCGUUAAUCGGAAUUACUGGGCGUAAAGCGUGCGCAGGCGGUUUUGUAAGACAGAGGUGAAAUCCCCGGGCUCAACCUGGGAACUGCCUUUGUGACUGCAAGGCUUGAGUGCGGCAGAGGGGGAUGGAAUUCCGCGUGUAGCAGUGAAAUGCGUAGAUAUGCGGAGGAACACCGAUGGCGAAGGCAAUCCCCUGGGCCUGCACUGACGCUCAUGCACGAAAGCGUGGGGAGCAAACAGGAUUAGAUAGCCCUGGUAGUCCACGCCCUAAACGAUGUCAACUGGUUGUUGGGAAGGUUCCUUCUCAGUAACGCAGCUAACGCGUGAAGUUGACCGCCUGGGGAGUACGGCCGCAAGGUUGAAACUU